rnacentral:rRNA from 1 species
ACAGCCCCGUACACAAAAAUGCACAUAUUGUGAGCUCGAUGAGUAGGGCGGGACACGUGGUAUCCUGUCUGAAUAUGGGGGGACCAUCCUCCAAGGCUAAAUACUCCUGACUGACCGAUAGUGAACCAGUACCGUGAGGGAAAGGCGAAAAGAACCCCGGCGAGGGGAGUGAAAAAGAACCUGAAACCGUGUACGUACAAGCAGUGGGAGCCUCUUAAUGGGGUGACUGCGUACCUUUUGUAUAAUGGGUCAGCGACUUAUAUUCUGUAGCAAGGUUAACCGAAUAGGGGAGCCGAAGGGAAACCGAGUCUUAACUGGGCGUUAAGUUGCAGGGUAUAGACCCGAAACCCGGUGAUCUAGCCAUGGGCAGGUUGAAGGUUGGGUAACACUAACUGGAGGACCGAACCGACUAAUGUUGAAAAAUUAGCGGAUGACUUGUGGCUGGGGGUGAAAGGCCAAUCAAACCGGGAGAUAGCUGGUUCUCCCCGAAAGCUAUUUAGGUAGCGCCUCGUGAAUUCAUCUCCGGGGGUAGAGCACUGUUUCGGCAAGGGGGUCAUCCCGACUUACCAACCCGAUGCAAACUGCGAAUACCGGAGAAUGUUAUCACGGGAGACACACGGCGGGUGCUAACGUCCGUCGUGAAGAGGGAAACAACCCAGACCGCCAGCUAAGGUCCCAAAGUCAUGGUUAAGUGGGAAACGAUGUGGGAAGGCCCAGACAGCCAGGAUGUUGGCUUAGAAGCAGCCAUCAUUUAAAGAAAGCGUAAUAGCUCACUGGUCGAGUCGGCCUGCGCGGAAGAUGUAACGGGGCUAAACCAUG